rnacentral:misc_RNA from 1 species
GAAAUGCGAUAAGUAAUGUGAAUUGCAGAAUUCAGUGAAUCAUCGAAUCUUUGAACGCACAUUGCGCCCGCCAGUAUUCUGGCGGGCAUGCCCGUUCGAGCAUCAUUUCAACCAUCAAGCCCCCGGCUUGUGUUGGGGACCUGCGGCUGCCCGCAGGCCCUGAAAAACAGUGGCGGGCUCGCUGUCACACCGAGCGUAGUAGCAUACAUUCUCGCUCAGGGCGUGCUGCGGGUUCCGGCCGUUAAACGACCUUCAUAACCCAAGGUUGACCUCGGAUCAGGUAGGAAGACCCGCUGAACUUAAGC